UAAAUUCUGCCUAUAGAUUUCCUUACAUUCGGCAAAAUCGAUAUGGUAUCUCAUAAUCGGGGACUUUCCUCUACAUAUGAUUGUCGUAUGAGUAAAAAUGUGAAAAGCUCGCAACGCAAAAUUCGAAUCGCUUGUACUUGAAUAAGAUUUUAGCUAAAAUGUUCUGGAUAUCGUGAAAUUGAGCAUUUAAAGAAUUAUCGCAUUUUAUAGAGUAUAGCGAUAAAUAGCAGAUUUGUUAAUAAGACUACGUUAUUAUUAUGCUUCUCUACCGUACAGAAUCCGCGAGAUUCCUUAAUGUUCAUCCAACGUCGACAGGAAGGCAAUUACAUUAUUAAACAUGCUAAGAAAUAGACGUAAUGGAAUGAAACAACGUGCAUCGCGCGUAAAAAUAUAACUAGGCAACUUCAGUUACCUGAUAAAAGUGGAAUCGGCGGCGGGGCUGGAGGGUCUCGGCGAGGAGCUCGCAGUGGACGCCGUGUUGGUCUCCUCCACGUCCAUCAUCGUUCAUACC